GACGAACGCUGGCGGCGUGCUUAACACAUGCAAGUCGAGCGAUGAAGCUCCUUCGGGAGUGGAUUAGCGGCGGACGGGUGAGUAACACGUGGGUAACCUGCCGCAUAGAGGGGAAUAGCCUUUCGAAAGGAAGAUUAAUACCGCAUAAGAUUGUAGCUUCGCAUGAAGCAGCAAUUAAAGGAGUAAUCCGCUAUGAGAUGGACCCGCGUCGCAUUAGCUAGUUGGUGAGGUAACGGCUCACCAAGGCGACGAUGCGUAGCCGACCUGAGAGGGUGAUCGGCCACAUUGGGACUGAGACACGGACCAGACUCCUACGGGAGGCAGCAGUGGGGAAUAUUGCACAAUGGGGGAAACCCUGAUGCAGCAACGCCGCGUGAGUGAUGACGGUCUUCGGAUUGUAAAGCUCUGUCUUCAGGGACGAUAAUGACGGUACCUGAGGAGGAAGCCACGGCUAACUACGUGCCAGCCGCCGCAGUAA
rnacentral:rRNA from 1 species